UACGAAGGGGGCGAGCGUUGUUCGGAAUUACUGGGCGUAAAGGGCGCGUAGGCGGCCGAUCAAGUCAGAUGUGAAAGUCCUGGGCUUAACCUGGGGACUGCAUUUGAUACUGAUUGGCUUGAAUGCAGGAGAGGAUAGCGGAAUUCCCAGUGUAGAGGUGAAAUUCGUAGAUAUUGGGAAGAACACCGGUGGCGAAGGCGGCUCACUGGACCGGUUCUGACGCUGAGGCGCGAAAGCGUGGGGAGCAAACGGG
rnacentral:rRNA from 1 species